AUGAACGCUGGCGGCGUGCCUCAUACAUGCAAGUCGAGCGAACAGACGAGGAGCUUGCUCCUCUGACGUUAGCGGCGGACGGGUGAGUAACCCGUGGAUAACCUACCUAUAAGACUGGGAUAACUUCGGGAAACCGGAGCUAAUACCGGAUAAUAUAUUGAACCGCAUGGUUCAAUAGUGAAAGACGGUUUUGCUGUCACUUAUAGAUGGAUCCGCGCCGCAUUAGCUAGUUGGUAAGGUAACGGCUUACCAAGGCAACGAUGCGUAGCCGACCUGAGAGGGUGAUCGGCCACACUGGAACUGAGACACGGUCCAGACUCCUACGGGAGGCAGCAGUAGGGAAUCUUCCGCAAUGGGCGAAAGCCUGACGGAGCAACGCCGCGUGAGUGAUGAAGGUCUUCGGAUCGUAAAACUCUGUUAUUAGGGAAGAACAAAUGUGUAAGUAACUAUGCACGUCUUGACGGUACCUAAUCAGAAAGCCACGGCUAACUACGUG
rnacentral:rRNA from 1 species